UCUGGGUUUCAUCUUAGUGUCAUCAGGAAAAGAUCUGGAUGUGUUUGACCUGAAGAAAUACUCUGCUUCAGAGGAGGUUCUUCUGAGGCUGCUGCCAGUGGUUAAAGCCUCCAACAAAGCUCUACUGAGUGUCUGUAACCUCUCAGAGAGAAGCUGUGAAGCUCUGUCCUCAGUUCUCAGCUCCCAGUCCUCCAGUCUCAGAGAACUGGACCUGAGUAACAACAACCUGCAGGAUUCAGGAGUGAAGCUUCUCUCUGCUGGACUGAAGAGUCCAAACUGCAACCUGGAAACUCUCAGCUUAUCAGGCUGUUUGGUCUCAGAGGAAGGCUGUGCUUCUCUGGCCUCAGCUCUGACCUCCAACCCCUCCCAUCUGAAAGAGUUGGACCUGAGCUACAAUCAUCCAGGAGACUCAGGAGUGAAGCUGCUGUCGGCUGGACUGAAGGAUCCACACUGGAGACUGGAAGCUCUCAGGGUGGAGACUGCUGGAGGCCGAUUCUUGACUCCAGGUCUGAGGAAAU